rnacentral:rRNA from 1 species
GAUAGGCUAAUUAAGAGCGUAUGGGGAAUGCCUAGGCUCUCAGAGGCGAUGAAGGACGUGAUAAGCUGCGAAAAGCUACGGGGAGUGGCACAUACACUGUGAUCCGUAGAUAUCCGAAUGGGGCAACCCAAUACUUUGAAGAAGUAUUAUCCGAAAGGAAGCAAACCCGGAGAACUGAAACAUCUAAGUAUCCGGAGGAGAAGAAAACAAUAGUGAUUCCGUUAGUAGUGGCGAGCGAAAGCGGAACAGCCCAAACCCAAUUUG